rnacentral:rRNA from 1 species
CCUACGGGGCGCAGCAGUGGGGGAUAUUGGACAAUGGGGGAAACCCUGAUCCAGCGAUGCCGCGUGAGGGAAGAAGGUUUUCGGAUUGUAAACCUCUGUGGAGGGGGACGAUAAUGACGGUACCCCUUUAGGAAGCCACGGCUAACUACGUGCCAGCAGCCGCGGUAAUACGUAGGUGGCGAGCGUUGUCCGGAAUUACUGGGUGUAAAGGGAGCGUAGACGGCUGUGCAAGUCUGGAGUGAAAGGCGGGGGCCCAACCCCCGGACGGCUCUGGAAACUGUAUGGCUGGAGUGCAUGGGAGGGAA